AGCGAACGCUGGCGGCAGGCCUAACACAUGCAAGUCGAACGGACCCUUCGGGGUUAGUGGCGGACGGGUGAGUAACACGUGGGAACGUGCCUUUAGGUUCGGAAUAGCUCCUGGAAACGGGUGGUAAUGCCGAAUGUGCCCUUAGGGGGAAAGAUUUAUCGCCUUUAGAGCGGCCCGCGUCUGAUUAGCUAGUUGGUGAGGUAAUGGCUCACCAAGGCUACGAUCAGUAGCUGGUCUGAGAGGAUGACCAGCCACAUUGGGACUGAGACACGGCCCAAACUCCUACGGGAGGCAGCAGUGGGGAAUCUUGCGAAAUGGGCGAAAGUCUGACGCAGCCACGCCGCGUGGAUGAUGAAGGUCUAAGGAUUGUAAAAUCCUUUCACCGGUGAAGAUAAUGACUGUAGCCGGAGAAGAAGCCCCGGCUAACUUCGUGCCAGCAGCCGCCGCGGUAA
rnacentral:rRNA from 1 species